GGUGAUACCGGGAAGGGUAAAAAUGCAGAAUGGAUUUCGAAAGAACACCAAUAGAACAGUUGUACAGAUAGAAAAUAUCACAGAAGGCAAUGAACGAACUCUUGAAGAAACUUCGGUAAAACGAAAUAUAGCUCACCACCAAGUUUAAAAAUCAAAAGGGAUACAGAAGAUCACCACCCUAAUGAUAAUAAACAAGGAUGCAGAACUGAAAGCAAAAGACUCACCACUCAAGGACGCAUCCAAGAGAUACAGAGUUCAAAAGAGCACUACAAGAGAGCUUCUACUAAUAUCCUCAGUUUUCUAAAGUCUUUUCUAAGCCCUAAACCCCAAAAUAAAUACUAGUGCAUGAAACAACCCUUCAUGCAUAGGAAAUUUCGAAAUUAAGUACUUUACAGCUGCCAACCAACUCCAUUAAUGAAUUCCUUAGCCAUGAAGAAAAGCAUCAUGAUACAGCUUUACAACUGCCAACCAACUCCAUUAAUGUAUUCCUUUGUGCUGGGAAUAUGCUGAUGAGUUGUCUUAUCUAAGUAGGCUGAGUUGAAGAAUAUGUAGCAAUAUUGUUGGCUGAAAAAAAUAUCAUAUUAUCAGUAUGAUCCAUAUGAGCAGAUUGUAGCAAAUUAGACACUCCCGUGUCAAUCUCCCCUGGUUGAAAAAGACUUGUCCUCAAGUUCUUGUUUGUUUCGUCAUCAUGAUUAUAAAAAGGACUUAAGUCAGCCACAUUAAAUGUUGGGGAUACUCCGUAAUCUUUAGGUAGCUCAAUCUCAUAAGCAUUUUUUCUAAUUCUCUUAAGCACCUUGAAUGGACCAUCAGCCUUAGGUUUUAGUUUUCC
rnacentral:lncRNA from 1 species